rnacentral:rRNA from 1 species
UCAAAUGUAAGUUGACAGAUUUCUGAAAGGGAUUCUUCUUCGGACAAUUUACAAGGUGCUGCAUGGUUGUCGUCAGCUCGUGCCGUGAGGUGUCGGGUUAAGUCCCAUAACGAGCGCAACCCUAUUCUUAGUUGCCAUCAGGUAAAGCUGGGGACUCUAAGGAAACUGCCUACGCAAGUAGAGAGGAAGGUGGGGAUGACGUCAAAUCAGCACGGCCCUUACGUCCAGGGCUACACACGUGCUACAAUGGCCAGUACAAAGGGCAGCUACCAGGUGACUGGAUGCUAAUCUCAAAAGCUGGUCUCAGUUCGGAUCGAAGUCUGCAACCCGACUUCGUGAAGCUGGAAUCGCUAGUAAUCGCGCAUCAGCCAUGGCGCGGUGAAUACGUUCCCGGGCCUU